rnacentral:rRNA from 1 species
AAGACCUUGCGCUUUUGGAGCGGCCGAUGCCUGAUUAGCUUGUUGGUAAGGUAAAAGCUUACCAAGGCUUCGAUCAGUAGCUGGUCUGAGAGGACGACCAGCCACACUGGGACUGAGACACGGCCCAGACUCCUACGGGAGGCAGCAGUGGGGAAUUUUGGACAAUGGGGGCAACCCUGAUCCAGCCAUGCCGCGUGAGUGAAGAAGGCCUUCGGGUUGUAAAGCUCUUUCAGCCGGAACGAAACGGUUACGGUUAAUACCCAUGACUACUGACGGUACCGGAAGAAGAAGCACCGGCUAACUACGUGCCAGCAGCCGCGGUAAUACGUAGGGUGCGAGCGUUAAUCGGGAUUACAGGGCGUAAAGCGUGCGCAGGUGGUUUUGUAAGUCAGAUGUGAAAGCCCCGGGCUCAACCUGGGAACU